AUAGCCUAACGGCUGAACCAGCAACUUGGAGGAAUGUAUAGCGAAAGCUAGUUGUAUUAAUAUGUCUUUAGUUAAUACAGCAUCGACUAUGUCGAAUAAAGUUCUAGGUAGAGUUAUGAUAAUGACAUUUUCUACCUAUGUGUCUUGACCAAGUCACGUGCCAGCAGUCGCGGUAAUACGUGGAAGACUAGUGUUAUUCAUCUUUAAUAGGUUUAAAGGGUACUUAGACGGUAAAUUUAGCCCAGAUAAAAAAAAGGGUACUAAUUAUACUAGAGUUUUGUAUGUGAGGAGGGGUGUAGUAGUGGAGUAGAGAUGAAAUUCUGUCAUACCAUUAUGACAGGCAACGGCGCAAGCAACCUUUUAUGUGAAAACUGACGUUGACGGACGAAGGCUUUGCAUCACCAACAGGAUUAGAUACCCAAGUAGUCUUAGCAGACAAUUAUGAAUGCCAUAGAUAAGAAAAGAUUCUUUCUUAAAAAAGAGAUAGAUGCAAUUUUGUCUAUAAAUGAAAGUGUAAGCAUUCCACCUCAAGAGUAAUGUGGCAACGCACAAACUGAAAUCAUUAGACCGUUUCUGAAACCAGUAGUGAAGUAUGUUGUUUAAUUUGAUGGUCCGCACAAAACCUUACCACAAUUUGUAUAUUAUUAUCUUAAUACAGGAGUUGCACGGCUGUCUUCAGUUAAUGUCGUGAGAUUUUGGUUAGUUCCAUUAAAUUAACGUAAACCCUUACUUUAUUUAUGUUAUAAAGUAGUUCGCCGCUAUAUUGGAUAUGAUAAGA
rnacentral:rRNA from 1 species